rnacentral:rRNA from 1 species
UACAGAGGUCUCAAGCGUUGUUCGGAAUUACUGGGCGUAAAGCGCACGUAGGCGGCUUUGUAAGUUAGAGGUGAAAGCCCGGGGCUCAACUCUGGAAUUGCCUUUAAGACUGCAUCGCUAGAAUUGUGGAGAGGUAAGUGGAAUUCCGAGUGUAGAGGUGAAAUUCGUAGAUAUUCGGAAGAACACCAGUGGCGAAGGCGACUUACUGGACACAUAUUGACGCUGAGGUGCGAAAGCGUGGGGAGCAAACAGG